rnacentral:tRNA from 1 species
CGGGGGUGCCCGAGCCAGGCCAAAGGGGCAGGGCUCAAGACCCUGUGGCGUAGGCCUACGUGGGUUCAGGGAGACGCCCGCCUAGAAAUCCCACCCCCCGCACCA